rnacentral:rRNA from 1 species
AUGGAUAAGAGACUGUUUGAUGGUGAAAGCAUUUAUGCUCGUGGUGACUACCUCAAGUGUGCCAGAAUGGCUGCUGUUAAACAAGAGGAGGUAGACACAGCCAAUGAUACCAGCGGUGGCCAAAUUACCCAUGACGAACCACUAUGUCGGAAGCACAAUAAGCGACACGAGUAUAUUCAUCGCCCACGCAAAGCAAGCUUAAUCCAAAAGUUCAAAGGCAAGAAAAUCCAUCUAAAGCCUGGAAAGUCCAUUCUCCGUGGUGAGCCUUGCAAGCACUACUUAGAUGAGUUUAGUCACCACGUUACGUUGUGUGGGGCAACACAGUUAGGCUCUACAACAUAA